rnacentral:rRNA from 1 species
AUCUUCGGAUGUGUAUAAAGUGGCGAACGGCUGAGUAACACGUGGGCAACCUGCCCUUUGCACUGGGAUAGCCUCGGGAAACCGAGGUUAAUACCGGAUACUCCAUAUUUGUCGCAUGGCGAAUAUGGGAAAGCUCCGGCGGCAAAGGAUGGGCCCGCGGCCUGUUAGCUAGUUGGUGGGGUAGUGGCCUACCAAGGCAAUGAUGGGUAGCCGGGUUGAGAGACCGACCGGCCAGAUUGGGACUGAGACACGGCCCAGACUCCUACGGGAGGCAGCAGUGGGGAAUCUUGCACAAUGGGCGAAAGCCUGAUGCAGCGACGCCGCGUGCGGGAUGAAGGCCUUCGGGUUGUAAACCGCUUUCAGCAGGGACGAGGCCGCAAGGUGACGGUACCUGCAGAAGAAGCCCCGGCUAACUACGUGCCAGCAGCCGCGGUAAUACGUAGGGGGCAAGCGUUAUCCGGAUUCAUUGGGCGUAAAGCGCGCGUAGGCGGUCUGUUGGGUCAGGAGUUAAAUCUGGGGGCUCAACCCCUAUCCGCUCCUGAUACCGGCAGGCUUGAGUCUGGUAGGGGAAGAUGGAAUUCCAAGUGUAGCGGUGAAAUGCGCAGAUAUUUGGAAGAACACCGGUGGCGAAGGCGGUCUUCUGGGCCAUAACUGACGCUGAGGCGCGAAAGCUAGGGGAGCGAACAGGAUUAGAUACCCUGGUAGUCCUAGCUGUAAACGAUGGACACUAGGUGUGGGGAGAUUAUACUUUCCGUGCCGCAGCUAACGCAUUAAGUGUCCCGCCUGGGGAGUACGGUCGCAAGACUAAAACUCAAAGGAAUUGACGGGGGCC